rnacentral:rRNA from 1 species
GCAAGGAACUGACUGGAUUCGCCUAGUAGCGGCGAGCGAAGCGGGAAGAGCUCAAAUUUAUAAUCUGGCACCUUCGGUGUCCGAGUUGUAAUCUCUAGAAGUGUUUUCCGCGUUGGACCGCACACAAGUCUGUUGGAAUACAGCGGCAUAGUGGUGAAACCCCCGUAUAUGGUGCGGACGCCCAGCGCUUUGUGAUACACUUUCAAUGAGUCGAGUUGUUUGGGAAUGCAGCUCAAAUUGGGUGGUAAAUUCCAUCUAAAGCUAAAUAUUGGCGAGAGACCGAUAGCGAACAAGUACCGUGAGGGAAAGAUGAAAAGCACUUUGGAAAGAGAGUUAACAGUACGUGAAAUUGUUGGAAGGGAAACGCUUGAAGUCAGACUUGCUUGCCGGAGCUUGCUUCGGUUUGCAGGCCAGCAUCAGUUUUCCGGGGUGGAUAAUGACGGUUUGAAGGUAGCAGUCUCGGCUGUGUUAUAGCUUUCCGUUGGAUACGCCCUGGGGGACUGAGGAACGCAGCGUGCUUUUUGCGAAAGACUCGUCUUUUUCACGCUUAGGAUGCUGGUGGAAUGGCUUUAAACGACCCGUCUUGAAACACGGACCAAGGAGUCUAACAUGCUCGCGAGUAUUUGGGUGUCAACCCAGAUGCGCAUGAAGUGA